rnacentral:rRNA from 1 species
AACGAACGCUGGCGGCAUGCCUAACACAUGCAAGUCGAACGAGACCUUCGGGUCUAGUGGCGCACGGUUUCGUAACGCGUGGGAACCUUCCCUUAUGUUCGGAAUAACUCCCCGAAAGGGGUGCUAAUACCGGAUAAUGUCUUCGAACCAAAGAUUUAUCGCCUUUGGAUGGGCCCGCGUUGUAUUAGCUCGUUGGUAGGGUAAAAGCCUACCAAGGCGACGAUCCAUAGAUGGUCUGAGAGGAUGAUCAGCCACACUGGGACUAAGACACGGCCCAGAAUCCUACGCGAGGGAGGAGUGGGGAAUAUUGGACAAUGGGCGAAAGCAUGAUCCAGCAAGGCCGCGUGAGUGAUGAAAGCCUUAGGGUUGUAAAGCUCUUUUACCCGGGAUGAUAAUGACAGUACCGGGAGAAUAAGCCCCGGCUAACUACGUG